rnacentral:rRNA from 1 species
CUCAGAAGGACACUGGCGGCAUGCUUCACACAUGCAAGUGCAAACGAAGCCUUCGGGCUUAGUGGCGCACGGGUGCGUAACUUGUGCGAAUCUGCCCUCUGGUACGGAAUAACUCAGGGAAACUUGAGCUAAUACCGUAUAAUGACUUCGGUCCAAAGAUUUAUCGCCUGAGGAUGAGCCCGCGUCGGAUUAGCUAGUUGGUGAGGUAAAAGCUCACCAAGGCGACGAUCCGUAGCUGGUCUGAGAGGAUGAUCAGCCACACUGGGACUGAGACACGGCCCAGACUCCUACGGGAGGCAGCAGUGGG